rfam:Salmo salar isolate Sally breed double haploid chromosome ssa25, whole genome shotgun sequence.
UGCAUUCACUACUGUAAGUCGCUUUGGAUAAAAGCGUCUGCUAAGUGACUUCAA